CCCUGGAAGGUGGGGUCGGCCCUCCGGGGGCGGCGGUGGGUUCGGUGUGUGAUAGCCGGCCCGGUCCGACGCGCUCCGCGAGGCCACGCGAGACACCCACCGAGGCAUGGCGGCAGGGCCUGGGCACGGGAAUCGUGCGCACAGGGCGAGGAACCCUCGGAGGGGAUGAGAGCACAGGGCGGGGGUUAGGAGAAUGGGGCUGGAGAGACGGGCGGGAGGGGCGGGAACUGGGCGCCUGGGACCUGCCGGCUCCCAAGCCCCAGGAAGACGCUGCCCAUGCGUGGAGCGGCCGCAGGAAAGGUACUCCCGGCUAAGGCCUUCAGGGAGCGGCCCUUUUCCCUGUGCGAUCUCUUCCCUCCUUUCCCACGGGUUGCCAAAUCCUGUGACGCUGCCCCUACUCUGGUGCUUCUCAGAUGCUAUGGUCGGCUUAGGAGACCUCGCAGCCGUUACACAGCUGUGGAAAUACCCUGGGCGCUGGGCGCUGCUUCACUCCGAAGGCAGCAGCUGGGUUUACCUCCCGACUCGACCCGCCACCGAGGCUCCUGAGCACUUGAAAUGUGGCCAGUCCACCCGAGACGGGCUGUGCCUGCCCUCUCCGUUCCUCCUCACUUUCCUCCGCUGGGAAUCGGCACCACCACUGAUUUUAAAGUUGAAACUUGUCAGGCAAAACGGAGGUACUCCCACGUUAAAUGUAUACACGUUGACUGCAAUAGCAUCCUGACUUUUGAAAUGGCAAAACGUAGAGCAAGUUG